UACGUAGGUUGCGAGCGUUGUCCGGAUUUAUUGGGCGUAAAGCGCGCGCAGGCGGUUGUCUAAGUCUGCUGUGAAAUCUCCCGGCUCAACUGGGAGGGGGCGGCGGAGACUGGGCGACUGGAGGGACCUAGAGGCCGGUGGAAUUCCCGGUGUAGUGGUGAAAUGCGUAGAGAUCGGGAGGAACACCUGUGGCGAAGGCGGCCGGCUGGGGGUACCCUGACGCUGAGGCGCGGCAGCGUGGGGAGCGAACCGG
rnacentral:rRNA from 1 species